CACGAAGCCGGAAUCGCUAGUAAUCGCAGAUCAGCAUGCUGCGGUGAAUACGUUCCCGGGUCUUGUACACACCGCCCGUCACACCAUGGGAGUCGGAAAUGCCCGAAGUCAGUGGCCCAACCGCAAGGAGGGAGCUGCCGAAGGCAGGUCCGGUGACUGGGGUGAAGUCGUAACAAGGUAUC
rnacentral:rRNA from 1 species